AUAAAAUUUUGUGUAAAUGUUGAAUAAUAAAGAGUUAGUCAGUGAAAGAAUAGUCUUUGGGGUAAAGUCGCUGUGAGGCAAUUAAUGUUUACGUUGAACUGUAAAGGAAUGUGUUUAAAUAGUUAAAAGAAUACUCUAUUGUAGUACCUUUUGUAUCAGGGGGGUAGGAAUGAGAGUGAAUUAAAGUCACCUUCCCGAAGGAGAAAGAGCUCUUUGUGUUUGGAAUUGAUGUGUCAUAAUCAUUUUAAAGGCACAUUGAGGGGUGAAAUGCUAGUCAAUUGUCUCUGUUAUCUGGUUGUCUGACAACUGCCUAUAGGGCAAGAUCACUGUUCUUGGUUAACGUGUCAAGCAUUCUCUGAGGGAUAAGCUUUGGGGAAUUCUAGGUUUAUACUGAUUGAAAUCACUAUGAUACGACUGUUUUAUUGAAUUUAUCUAUAAACUUUAGGCUAUGAGACUACUUUGAAUAACUUUCUUUCUAGGAAAAAAAUCUACUUAUUAGUAAAUCGUCAAUUUUAAUUUUAAUCUUUUAAAGGAACUCGGCAAACUUUAUAAUUCUGACUGUUUAAUAAAAACAUUUCCUUUUUGUAGAAUAAAAGGUAAGGCCUGCUCAAUGCUUGCAAAAGUAAAUAGCUGCGGUAUCCUGACUGUACUAAGGUAGCAUAAUAAUUUGUUUCUUAAUUGGAAACUAGUAUGAAUGGUCUAACAAGAAUAAAGCUGUCUCUAAUAGAUAUAAUUGAACUUUAUUUUUGAGUGAAAAAGCUUAAAUUGUCUAGCAGGACGAGAAGACCCUAUAGAUUUUUAUAGAAGCGGUGUCUAACUUGGCGCUAAGUCUAUUUACUUGGGAAGAGGGCUUAAAGGAAACUAAGAUUAAAUUAAAUUAUCAUAGUAAAAACUUUGGAUCCCUUUUAUUGUAAGGAUAAAGAGAAAAAAUACCUUAGGGAUAACAGCAUAAUCUUCUUUCUCAGUUCUUAUGGGAAAAGGAGGCUUGCGACCUCGAUGUUGAAUUAAGUUUUCAUUUCUGACGUAGAAAGCGUAAUGGUAAGUCUGUUCGACUAUUAAAAACUUACAUGAUUUGAGUUUAGACCGACGUGAGUCAGGUCAGAUUCUAUCCUCUAGGUCAUUAAUUAUCUUAGUACGAAAGGAUUAGAUAGUUCAUUGUUGAAUUUAAUGUUCGGAAUAGUUCUAUAAACUUGGCUUUAGACCGAGGAAUCUAGUUAUUCUU
rnacentral:rRNA from 1 species